GAUGAACGCUGGCGGCGUGCCUAAUACAUGCAAGUCGAGCGAACAGACGAGGAGCUUGCUCCUUCGACGUUAGCGGCGGACGGGUGAGUAACACGUAGGUAACCUACCUAUAAGACUGGGAUAACUUCGGGAAACCGGAGCUACUACCGGAUAAUAUUUCGAACCGCAUGGUUCGAUAGUGAAAGAUGGCUUUGCUAUCACUUAUAGAUGGACCUGCGCCGUAUUAGCUAGUUGGUAAGGUAACGGCUUACCAAGGCAACGAUACGUAGCCGACCUGAGAGGGUGAUCGGCCACACUGGAACUGAGACACGGUCCAGACUCCUACGGGAGGCAGCAGUAGGGAAUCUUCCGCAAUGGGCGAAAGCCUGACGGAGCAACGCCGCGUGAGUGAUGAAGGUCUUCGGAUCGUAAAACUCUGUUAUUAGGGAAGAACAAACGUGUAAGUAACUGUGCACGUCUUGACGGUACCUAAUCAGAAAGCCACGGCUAACUACGUG
rnacentral:rRNA from 1 species